rnacentral:rRNA from 1 species
AUUGAACGCUGGCGGCAGGCCUAACACAUGCAAGUCGAGCGGAGCGGCGGACGGGUGAGUAAUGCCUAGGAAUCUGCCUGGUAGUGGGGGAUAACAUCCGGAAACGGGCGCUAAUACCGCAUACGAUCCACUGAGCCUAGGUGGGAUUAGCUAGGUGGUGGGGUAAAGCCCUACCAAGGCGACACUCCGUAACUGGGCUGAGCGGAUGAUCAGUCACACUGGAACUGAGACACGGUCCAGACUCCUACGGGAGGCAGCAGUGGGGAAUAUUUGACAAUGGGGGAAAGCCUGAUCCAGCCAUGCCGCGUGUGUGAAGAAGGUCUUCGGAUUGUAAAGCACUUUAAGUUGGGAGGCGUUACCAACAGAAUAAGCACCGGCUAACUUCGUGCCAGCAGCCGCGGUAAUAC